rnacentral:rRNA from 1 species
GGCUCGUAGGCGGUUCGUCGCGUCCGGUGUGAAAGUCCAUCGCUUAACGGUGGAUCCGCGCCGGGUACGGGCGGGCUUGAGUGCGGUAGGGGAGACUGGAAUUCCCGGUGUAACGGUGGAAUGUGUAGAUAUCGGGAAGAACACCAAUGGCGAAGGCAGGUCUCUGGGCCGUUACUGACGCUGAGGAGCGAAAGCGUGGGGAGCGAACA